UAUCUCUGUAGAGUCUGCAUAUCAAUAAGCGGAGGAAAAGAAACUGACUAGGAUUCCCUCAGUAACGGCGAGUGAAGCGGGAAGAGCUCAAAUUUGAAAUCUUCAAGGUUUUACCUUGACGAAUUGUAGUUUAAAGAAGUGUUUUCUGUUGGAGUUUUGGUAAAAGUUCUUUGGAAAUAGGACAUCAUAGAGGGUGAGAAUCCCGUAUUUGACCAGUUACUUUCCAGCUGUGUGAUACACUUUCAAAGAGUCGGAUUGUUUGGGAAUGCAGUCCAAAAUGGGUGGUAAAUUUCAUCUAAAGCUAAAUAUUGGCGAGAGACCGAUAGCGAACAAGUACCGUGAGGGAAAGAUGAAAAGAACCUUGAAAAGAGAGUUAAACAGUACGUGAAAUUGUCAAAAGGGAAGCGUUUGACACCAGUGUUGUUUUCUCGAAAAUCAAUUAAAAAUGGCGGGAUGUUGUGUUGUAUUGACUUUAUCAGCUUUCUGCACUUUUUUCCUGUCUUUUUUAAUGCACUUUUCGUUUAACAAGUCAACAUCAAUUUCUUUUGUUGUAAAAGGGUCAUUGGAAGGUGGCUUUCUUUUCGGAGAAAGUGUUUAUAGCCUUUGGCCUCUGCAAUCGGAGAGAUUGAGGUCUGCAGCGUAGAUCCUUCGGGGUUAGAUGCAUUUGUGCUAAGCUAUAGCCUUUCAUAGACAACUUGUUGACUAUGAUCAGUCAUGUAGCUUACUCGCUUAUGCUAUUUUACCUACGCUUAGGAUGUUGAGUAGCGACAUACGCAC
rnacentral:rRNA from 1 species